AGAGUUUGAUCCUGGCUCAGAUUGAACGCUGGCGGCAUGCUUUACACAUGCAAGUCGGACGGCAGCACAGAGAAGCUUGCUUCUUGGGUGGCGAGUGGCGAACGGGUGAGUAAUAUAUCGGAACGUACCGAGUAAUGGGGGAUAACUAAUCGAAAGAUUAGCUAAUACCGCAUAUUCUCUGAGGAGGAAAGCAGGGGACCUUCGGGCCUUGCGUUAUUCGAGCGGCCAAUAUCUGAUUAGCUAGUUGGUGGGGUAAAGGCCUACCAAGGCGACGAUCAGUAGCGGGUCUGAGAGGAUGAUCCGCCACACUGGGACUGAGACGCGGCCCAGACUCCUACGGGAGGCAGCAGUGGGGAAUUUUGGACAAUGGGCGCAAGCCUGAUCCAGCCAUGCCGCGUGUCUGAAGAAGGCCUUCGGGUUGUAAAGGACUUUUGUCAGGGAAGAAAAGGACAGGGUUAAUACCUCUGUCUGAUGACGGUACCUGAAGAAUAAGCACCGGCUAACUACGUGCCAGCAGCCGCGGU
rnacentral:rRNA from 1 species